rnacentral:rRNA from 1 species
AGAGUUUGAUCAUGGCUCAGAACGAACGCUGGCGGUGCGUUUUAAGCAUGCAAGUCGAGCGGUAGCAGGGCUUCGGCUCUGUGAGAGCGGCGAACGGGUGAGUAACACGUGGGUGACCUACCCAGGGAUGGGGGAUAGCCUGUGGAAACACAGGGUAAUACCGCAUACGAUCCGGACCCUUUGGGGACCGGAUGAAAGGCGCGUUUGCGCCGUACCUGGAUGGGCCCGCGGCCUAUUAGCUAGUUGGUGAGGUAAGAGCCCACCAAGGCGACGAUAGGUAGCCGGCCUGAGAGGGUGAACGGCCACACUGGAACUGAGACACGGUCCAGACUCCUACGGGAGGCAGCAGCUAAGAAUCUUCCGCAAUGGGCGAAAGCCUGACGGAGCGACGCCGCGUGGGUGAAGAAGGCGGAAACGUUGUAAAACCCUUUUCUGCGUGAGGAAUAAGGCGGGUAGGAAAUGAUCCGCUGAUGACGGUAGCGCAGGAAUAAGCCCCGGCCAAUUACGUGCCAGCAGCCGCGGUAACACGUAUGGGGCGAGCGUUGUUCGGAAUCAUUGGGCGUAAAGGGCGCGCAGGCGGUCAUGCAAGUCUGGUGUGAAAGCCCACAGCUUAACUGUGGAGACGCGCUGGAAACUGUGUGACUCGAGUUCAGGAAGGGAAGCUGGAAUUCCAGGUGUAGGGGUGAAAUCUGUAGAUAUCUGGAAGAACAUCAGUGGCGAAGGCGAGCUUCUGGCCAUGAACUGACGCUGAGGCGCGAAAGCGUGGGGAGCAAACAGGAUUAGAUACCCUAGUAGUCC